rnacentral:rRNA from 1 species
CAGCAGCCGCGGUAAUACGAAGGGUGCAAGCGUUAAUCGGAAUUACUGGGCGUAAAGCGCGCGUAGGUGGUUUGGUAAGAUGGAUGUGAAAUCCCCGGGCUCAACCUUGGAACUGCAUCCAUAACUGCCUGACUAGAGUACGGUAGAGGGUGGUGGAAUUUCCUGUGUAGCGGUGAAAUGCGUAGAUAUAGGAAGGAACACCAGUGGCGAAGGCGACCACCUGGACUGAUACUGACACUGAGGUGCGAAAGCGUGGGGAGCAAACAGGAUUAGAUACCCCCGUAGUCCCUGUCUCUUAUAA